rnacentral:lncRNA from 1 species
AUGACCCACCAAACACAUGCUUGCCAUAUAGUCAAACCCAGCCCCUGACCACUAACAGAAGCUCUCUCAGCUCUACUAAUAACAUCUGGCCUGGCCAUGUGAUUUCACUUUAAUUCUACUACUCUUUUAACCCUAGGCCUAUUAAUCAACACACUAACUGUAUACCAAUGAUGAUGUGAUAUUAUCUGAGAAAGUAAAUUUCAAGGCCACCAUACAACAGUUGUCCAAAAAGGCCUCCAAUAUGGAAUAAUUCUAUUUAUUAUCUGAGAAGUAUUCUUCUUUGCUGGUUUCUUCUGGGCAUUCUAUCACUCUAGUCUAGCCCCAAUGCCAGAAUUAGGAGGACACUGACCCCCCAACAGGCAUUUUUCCCCUCAAACGCUUAGAAGUACCUUUCUGAAUACAUCUGUAUUAUUUGCAUCAGGAGUUUCAGUUACUUCGGCUCAUCACAGCCUGAUAGAAGGAAAUCGAAAGCAAAUAAUUCUAGCACUAUCCAUCACGAUUACCUUAGGUAUUUACUUCACCCUCCUACAAAUCUCAGUACUUUGAGGCCCCUUUUACUAUCUCUGAUGGGAUCUAUGGCUCAACAUUCUUUACAGCCACAGGCUUUCAUGGAUUUCAUGUUAUUACUGGAUCAACAUUUCUCACUAUCUGCUUCCUCCGCCAAUUAAAAUAUCACUUUACAAGAUGUCUGAAUAGGAAUAGCUCCAGUCUGCAGCUCCCAGCAUGAUCGACGCAGAAGAUGGUGAUUUCCGCAUUUCCAACUGAGGUACCUGG